rnacentral:rRNA from 1 species
GAGUGGACGCAUCACUGGUGUUCGGGUUGUCAUGCCAAUGGCACUGCCCGGUAGCUAAAUGCGGAAGAGAUAAGUGCUGAAAGCAUCUAAGCACGAAACUUGCCCCGAGAUGAGUUCUCCCUGAGACUUUAAGUCUCCUGAAGGAACGUUAAAGACGAUGACGUUGAUAGGCCGGGUGUGUAAGCGCAGCGAUGCGUUGAGCUAACCGGUACUAAUGAACCGUGAGGCUUAACCUUACAACGCCGAAGCUGUU